GCCGAGGUAGCCUAGUGGCUGAGGCAGUGGGCUGCAGACCCGCUUACGUCGGUUCGAAUCCGGCCCUCGGCU
rnacentral:tRNA from 1 species